rnacentral:ncRNA from 1 species
ACAAAAACGAAGACCGAGAAAAGUAACCUAUCGGAAGUCUCAAGCGAGACAGCGCAGAGUGGAAGGCUGUUAGAUGGAAAUAGGUGAAAACGCACUCGCGAGUGUUCGUCUGAAAUCAGUAGGAUGAAACGUUAGUUCGCGUUAAGAACAAGAGGGAAUAUCUAUUGAUAUUAACGAGAGUGGUACCGCGUCUAUUGGCGUCUCUGGA